rnacentral:rRNA from 1 species
UACGUAGGCAGCGAGCGUUGUUCGGAGUUACUGGGCGUAAAGGGUGUGUAGGCGGUUGUUUAGGUUUGGUGUGAAAUCUCCCGGCUCAACUGGGAGGGUGCGCCGAAUACUGAAUGACUUCGAGUGCGGGAGAGGAAAGUGGAAUUCCUGGUGUAGCGGUGAAAUGCGUAGAUAUCAGGAAGAACACCCGUGGCUAAGGCGGCUCUCUAGUACGGUACUGACGCUGAGACGCGAAAGCGUGGGGAGCGAACAGG